GGGGGAGGAGCGGCGGCGGCGGGGCUUCGUUCGACGCUUCGGGAGAGCGGGAAAAAAGAGGCGCGAAGGGCUGCAGCCAUGGCUGAGCUCACCGUGGGCAUCAACGGCUUUGGCCGCAUUGGUCGCCUGGUGCUGCGCGCCUGCCUGGAGAAGGGGCUGCGGGUGGUGGCAAUUAACGACCCCUUCAUUGACCUUAAUUACAUGCCCCACAUCCUGGAUCCUCCAGCCCCACACCUCCAGGUCCUCCUGCUCCACAUCUCUCAGUCCUCCAGCCCCACAUUGCAGGCCUAUAUGUUCCAAUACGACUCCACCCACGGCCGCUUCCCGGGGGAGGUGAAGGCGGAGGGGGGGAAAUUGGUGGUGGAUGGAGCUGAGAUCUGCGUCUUCCAGUGCAUGAAGCCCGCCGAUAUCCCGUGGGGCGCAGCCGGAGCGCUGUAUGUGGUGGAGUCCACCGGGGUGUUCCUCAGCGUCGAGAAGGCCUCGGCCCACCUGCAGGGCGGCGCUCGCCGGGUGGUGAUCAGCGCCCCAUCCCCUGACGCACCGAUGUUCGUUAUGGGCGUUAACGAGGAGAGCUACGAGCCCGAGAGCAUGAGUGUGGUCAGCAAUGCUUCGUGCACCACCAACUGCCUGGCGCCGCUGGCAAAGGUCAUCCACCACAACUUCGGCAUCGAGGAGGGGCUGAUGAGCACAGUCCACGCGGUCACAGCCACGCAGCGCACCGUGGACGGCCCGUCGGGCAAAGCGUGGCGCGACGGCCGCGGCGCCCACCAAAACCUCAUCCCGGCCGCCACCGGAGCCGCCAGGGCCGUGGGGAGGGUCAUCCCCGAGCUCAACGGGAAGCUGAGCGGGAUGGCGUUCCGGGUCCCGGUUCCGGACGUGUCGGUGCUGGACCUGACGUGCCCCAUCCCCUAUAGGGCUGUCUGACCCCAUAGCCCCCCAUGUGACCCCAUGUGUGACCCCAUAACCCCCCAUGUGACCCCAUAUGUGACCCCAUAACCCCCCAUGUGACCCCAUAACCCCCCAGGAAGCUGAGCGGGAUGGCGUUCCGGGUCCCGGUUCCGGACGUGUCGGUGCUGGACCUGACGUGCCCCAUCCCCUAUAGGGCUGUCUGACCCCAUAGCCCCCCAUGUGACCCCAUAGCCCCCCAUGUGACCCCAUAACCCCAUAUGACCCCCAGGAAGCUGAGCGGGAUGGCGUUCCGGGUCCCGGUUCCGGACGUGUCGGUGCUGGACCUGACGUGCCCCAUCCCCUAUAGGGCUGUCUGACCCCAUAGCCCCCCAUGUGACCCCAUAGGUGACCCCAUAACCCUAUAUGUGACCCCAUAACCCCACAGGAAGCUGAGCGGGAUGGCGUUCCGGGUCCCGGUUCCGGACGUGUCGGUGCUGGACCUGACGUGCCCCAUCCCCUAUAGGGCUGUCUGACCCCAUAGCCCCCCAUGUGACCCCAUAACCCCCCAUGUGACCCCAUAACCCCCCAUAACCCCAUGUGUGACCCCAUAACCCCAUAUGACCCCCAGGAAGCUGAGCGGGAUGGCGUUCCGGGUCCCGGUUCCGGACGUGUCGGUGCUGGACCUGACGUGCCCCAUCCCCUAUAGGGCUGUCUGACCCCAUAGCCCCCCAUGCGACCCCAUAACCCCACAUGUGACCCCAUUACCCCAUAUGUGACCCCAUAGGUGAUCUCAUAGCCCUAUAUGUGACCCCAUAACCCCGCAGGAAGCUGAGCGGGAUGGCGUUCCGGGUCCCGGUUCCGGACGUGUCGGUGCUGGACCUGACGUGCCCCAUCCCCUAUAGGGCUGUCUGACCCCAUAGCCCCCCAUGUGACCCCUUAGGUGACCCCAUAACCCUAUAUGUGACCCCAUAACCCCGCAGGAAGCUGAGCGGGAUGGCGUUCCGGGUCCCGGUUCCGGACGUGUCGGUGCUGGACCUGACGUGCCCCAUCCCCUAUAGGGCUGUCUGACCCCAUAGCCCCCCAUGUGACCCCAUAGGUGACCCCAUAACCCCAUAUGACCCCCAGGAAGCUGAGCGGGAUGGCGUUCCGGGUCCCGGUUCCGGACGUGUCGGUGCUGGACCUGACGUGCCCCAUCCCCUAUAGGGCUGUCUGACCCCAUAGCCCCCCAUGUGACCCCAUAACCCCACAUGUGACCCCAUAACCCCAUAUGACCCCCAGGAAGCUGAGCGGGAUGGCGUUCCGGGUCCCGGUUCCGGACGUGUCGGUGCUGGACCUGACGUGCCCCAUCCCCUAUAGGGCUGUCUGACCCCAUAGCCCCCCAUGUGACCCCAUAACCCCAGAUGUGACCCCAUAGCCCCCCAUGUGACCCCAUAGGUGACCCCAUAACCCCAUGUGUGACCCCAUAACCCCAUAUGACCCCCAGGAAGCUGAGCGGGAUGGCGUUCCGGGUCCCGGUUCCGGACGUGUCGGUGCUGGACCUGACGUGCCCCAUCCCCUAUAGGGCUGUCUGACCCCAUAGCCCCCCAUGUGACCCCAUAGCCCCCCAUGUGACCCCAUAGGUGACCCCAUUACCCCAUAUGUGACCCCAUAACCCCGCAGGAAGCUGAGCGGGAUGGCGUUCCGGGUCCCGGUUCCGGACA